rnacentral:rRNA from 1 species
UGGGGGAUAUUGCACAAUGGGCGAAAGCCUGAUGCAGCGACGCCGCGUGGGGGAUGAAGGCUUUCGGGUUGUAAACCUCUUUCGCUAUCGAACAAGGCCCGCUUAGGGUGGGUUGAGGGUAGGUGGAGAAGAAGCGCCGGCUAACUACGUGCCAGCAGCCGCGGUAAUACGUAGGGCGCGAGCGGUGUCCGGAAUUAUUGGGCGUAAAGGGCUUGUAGGCGGCUUGUUGCGCCUGCUGUGAAAACGCGGGGCUUAACUUCGCGCGUGCAGUGGGUACGGGCAGGCUUGAGUGUGGUAGGGGUGACUGGAAUUCCAGGUGUAGCGGUGGAAUGCGCAUAUAUCUGGAGGAACACCGAUGGCGAAGGCAGGUCACUGGGCCAUUACUGACGCUGAGGAGCGAAAGCAUGGGUAGCGAACAGG